rnacentral:rRNA from 1 species
AUUGAACGCUGGCGGCAUGCUUUACACAUGCAAGUCGAACGGUAACAGGGUGCUUGCACCGCUGACGAGUGGCGAACAGGUGAGUAAUGCGUCGGAACGCGCCGAGUAGUGGGGGAUAACGCAGCGAAAGUUGUGCUAAUACCGCAUACGUACUGAGGUAGAAAGUGGGGGACCUUCGGGCCUCACGCUAUUCGAGCGGCCGACGUCUGAUUAGCUAGUAGGUGAGGUAAAGGCUCACCUAGGCGACGAUCAGUAGCGGGUCUGAGAGGAUGAUCCGCCACACUGGGACUGAGACACGGCCCAGACUCCUACGGGAGGCAGCAGUGGGGAAUUUUGGACAAUGGGCGAAAGCCUGAUCCAGCCAUGCCGCGUGUCUGAAGAAGGCCUUCGGGUUGUAAAGGACUUUUGUCAGGGAGGAAAUCCCUAGUGCUAAUAACACUGGGGGAUGACAGUACCUGAAGAAUAAGCACCGGCUAACUACGUGCCAACAGCCGCCGCCG